rnacentral:rRNA from 1 species
CCUACGGGAGGCAGCAGUGGGGAAUUUUGCGCAAUGGGGCAACCCUGACGCAGCAACGCCGCGUGAGUGAUGAAGGCUUUCGGGUCGUAAAGCUCUGUCAGAAGGGAAGAAAUGGGACGUGCUAAUAUCGCGUCUCCUUGACGGUACCUUCAAAGGAAGCACCGGCUAACUCCGUGCCAGCAGCCGCGGUAAU